GACAGAGGGUGCAAACGUUGCUCGGAAUUACUGGGCGUAAAGCGCGUGUAGGCUGACCGGAAAGUCGGGCGUGAAAGCCCUGGGCUCAACCCAGGAACUGCACUCGAAACUCCCGGUCUAGAGUGGUGGAGAGGGAAGUGGAAUUCCUGGUGUAGAGGUGAAAUUCGUAGAUAUCAGGAGGAACACCAGUGGCGAAGGCAGCACUCUGGGACGGUACUGACGCUGAGACGCGAAAGCGUGGGGAGCAAACAGG
rnacentral:rRNA from 1 species